UAUCAGUCAGCUGAGCUUAGUGGAACGACUUGGUACAACUUCUCUGCUGUUCAGCUUGGUCUUGUGGUUAGUGGUUCCCUUUAUGGAGCUCUUAUUGGCUCCAUACUUGCCUACCCAUUCGCUGAUUUCUUAGGGAGGAGGAGGGAACUGAUCAUAGCAGCCCUUUUAUAUGCGGCUGGUGGUUCACUAACUGCCUAUGCUCCAGGACUAGGAGCACUUUUGUUGGGCCGGCUUG